GUAACCGGCAAACCGCGAACCGCAUUCCCGCGCUAAAUACUACCAGACCGUGCGUGGAUUCUUCUACGAGGACACGUGCACCCGAUUCUCCCGCCUUCCGGUUAAACGUCAUCUCCAUCUCGCUUCCGUUCCUUAUGCACCAUCGACUCAACCUUGCUCGACAAUUAUGGCGCUUUGAGGAUACUCCAAAGCCGAGGACGGUUAUGAUGAAGAAUAGGAGGACUUUGGAGGUGCAGGAGAGAUACGUGGAAUCGAUCGAUAUUGCAAUAUCGCUUCGAUGAUGGUCCAUCUCCCUUUGAGUGUCUCCUCGUCGUGAAGAUCCUCGAACGCGCGAUUAUAUUCUAUGAAUGUGUACGGGUAUGUAUGUGUGUGUAUGUGAUUAUGUCCGGCCAAUUGGGCGUGUAACCAUUGAAUCCAUUAAUGACUACUAUCAUAUAUUUAACAAUAAGUAGAAAUCGAUCCGAAGGAAAAUACGAGAAAUUUAAUAUCGAUCGAUGUAUUAGGCGACUAAUAAGAAUGUAAUUUAUUUUACUAUGUAACAACAAAAAUAAAUAGUAUAUCAUA